UUUGAGUGCUAUAAUUUUACAUUUUUGUUAAGCUGUUACUUAUUUCUAGAGAUAAGGCUUUUCUGAUUAGCGGGUAUGUAUUCUAGAGUAAAGAGUAAAGAAAGUUAAUUUGAGUUUGAUGCAGACCUGACUAGUUAUUGCAUUUUGUAAAUGGGCAAGAAAUAUUUGGAGAAAUGCUUUAUGUUUAAUGGUAAGACAACCCUGAGCAUUUAAGCUGAACAAUCAAAUUUCUGUUGGAAGCGGCUUUUGCCUUAAGCUAAAAGAGAAGUUUAGGGUGUAGCUGAGAGAAAUGCAAUUUCUUGGAGACACAAAAGAAAAAAGGCCAUGAACUGUAGCCUGAUUUUUUUUUUUUUAGGUAAAUUUCCAGAGUACAUAGAUUACAUUACAUAGAUAAGUUUUGUUUUUUUAAAGACUAGUAAAUUCUGAUGAUUGUUUUUUCUAUAGUGAUUUACCUUUAUCUCUUCCUUUUUAAAUCUGGAAGACUGACCCUAUUCAGCAUCUACCCUUAGGUUUAAUUGUUCUCUGAUAGAUAACCACUGGUACAGACUCUUAUUAGGAAAAGAUUUUCCCACCUGGGAAUUCUCUAAUGACAUCCUGCAUUUACCAAUCCACUCCGGGAGUGUGGGUGAAGUUAUUAGAAUUUUAUUAAUGUUAAUUUUGCUAGAUUUCUUGUUGAAAGAAGAAUUCAUUCAGAACCCUUGGAGUCCUAACUAUUAUCUCAAGUCAUUUCCUAGGGAGCUAAAAGCUAGACAAGGUUUUUCUAAAGCCUGAACCAAGAGUCCAUUUAAGAUAUCUCUACAAGGAACCUGAAGGAGUCUCCUGAAGACACCUACAUAGAAAUCAUCUCUACUAAAAGGGGAAGUACUUCACCAAAGACAACUCAAUUGGGCUAACAAUGGAACUCUUCCAAGAACCUGUUUGUGCUUAGGAGACUUCUACAAAAGAGGACAAUGAGGCCUACAUCAAGACCCACUGAAUUUGGAAGACUGAAAGACUUUGGGAAUUGGGGUAGUCUCUGUUUGUUAUGAUCUUGCCAAAAGUAAAGUGCCUGCCUUUCUGGCCAAACUGUCAAUGCAUGACUGCAUCUGGGGAGUGCCCCCAGAAUGCCAUUUGUCUAUACUUAUGCUCCAUGUUUUCUAUUCUUAGUAACAGGGUCAAACUUUCUUAGGCACACACACACUCUUUGUCAAUAGCAGUUGGCCUUGCCCACAAAGGGGAUGUGUCAACUUAGUUCUUGAAGUCCCAAAUUUGCCCAUUUCCCUUGAGAACUUACCUUAAGGGAAGUCCUAAAGUGACUUGUGUUAGACUGAAUAAGGGAUCUCCCAGCAACCAUUAAGUAUCCUGAAUAGGAAUAACAGAAAUGCUCAAAUGUUCAAUCACCCUUUUAGUCUUAGAAGUUUCCCCCAUUGCAUCAGAGAUCUGUUCCCAAGAACCUGGGCAGGACUCACCCUUUUAGAAUCCUUUGUAGUAGACCAUUCCCUAAUGCCCCAGACUCUAGCUACAGUCUCUUUCCCAAGCCUGCUUACAACCUGUCAGUGUAUGUUUGAUGCCCUAAGUUUCCCAGAAGGAAUAGAAGAUCCCUAUGUUUUAUUGUUCUUGGGAGAAUCAUCUCCCAUGGUGAUCUUCCCAGAGAUACUGUUCCCAGAGUCCCAGAGCCCUUGGCUCUGGCAGCUGAAUAGUGAACGCUAUCUCUUUCCUGAUUAAAGACUUGGUUUUGC